CGCACGAGCAACACCAUCAGCAGGAACAUCAAUUGCCUUCCUGGCCAGGCAUGGUGGACCUCAGUGACGCACCAGUUUCACUGAAUGCAGAUUUAGCAAUUCUACUCAAAACGGAACAUAGAUGUCCGGACGAAGAAGAGCUGGAUGAAUUGUGGCCGGACCUAUCACGUCAUGAGAAGAUAGUACGGGCUGCCAACGUGCACCAGAGAGCAGACAUUACCAUGGACUUAUUUUCAGUAUUUAUGAAGAAAAGAGCACAACGCGAAGCAGAGUUUGAGAAGAAACAAAACGAGUAACUCACCCAGUUGUCAGGACAGUCCGACAUCACUGGCGAUGGUGGUAAUCAGCAAGAUCAGUCCAUAAGUGGAGCACCUGUUGCUGAGAACUCCCACAAGUCCCUAAUGGACGUCUUCCUGGAAGUCAUUAGGCUGUCCACCCUGGCUUUUGUUUUGCUGUAGAUAAGAU